ensembl:snRNA U6 U6 spliceosomal RNA
CUUGCUUCAGCAACUUAUAAUAAAAUUGGAGUAAUACAGAAAGGAAAGAUUGCCAUUGCCCCUGUGCAAGGAUGAUGUGCACAUCUGUUAAACAUUCCAUAUUUUU